GGACAGGCCCCCGGAAUCAACGUGUCAGCGGCUCGAAAAUCGGUUUUCUUGAAGAUGGAUGGAUGCUUAAAUGAGUAACCGGCAGUUUACGUUGACGAUCGUCACCUGAGCCAUCGAACCGAGCGCGGUCCUCACGUGAGGCGUGAUCACAGCAGCUGCAUAUAGUCAUCCAGGCUAUUGCUUAUGCCGUCAAAGAAGCAGGACUGAAGGGGGUUUGACCGCGAUGCGACGGAAACUGAGCCCCGGAGCCCGGCAACAGAGGUGACCCAGGAAGCUGUCACUCCCUCCUUAAAGCUCCGCGUGAGUUAGCCUCACGAAGGAAACUUGCGAAUAAAUAACUACACUGUCCGAAAGGUAAGCUCCGAUAGCCAGAAUACACCAAAAUGAGUUUAUGCUGCUCCACAUCAACUGAA